rnacentral:rRNA from 1 species
UACAGAGGUGGCAAGCGUUGUUCGGAAUUACUGGGCGUAAAGGGCGCGUAGGCGGCCUUCUAAGUCAGACGUGAAAUCCCCCGGCUUAACCUGGGAACUGCGUCUGAUACUGGAGGGCUUGAAUUCGGGAGAGGGAUGCAGAAUUCCAGGUGUAGCGGUGAAAUGCGUAGAUAUCUGGAGGAAUACCGGUGGCGAAGGCGGCAUCCUGGACCGACAUUGACGCUGAGGAGCGAAAGCUAGGGGAGCAAACGGG